CGUGUAUUUCGGAAAACAUUUCCGGUAUCGGAUAUAAUCGAUUGGAUUCGGUUAUCCGGACAUGCUCAUAUCAAAAUCCAUUUGGGUAUUUUACUAUUUCGGUUCGGAUUUUGGUUCGGAUAUUUCGGAUCAGUUCGGAUUUGAGUUCGGGUAUCGGAUAAAAUGUCCAAACCUAUUGUGUACUGCGAUAUCACUAGAUUAACGUAUCUUGUGAAAGAAACUGAGAUGAUUAUACAGACCUUCUGACUUACAACAAACACAAAUAGAUGACUCUAAAUUUGU
rnacentral:lncRNA from 1 species